rnacentral:rRNA from 1 species
UACAGAGGUGGCAAGCGUUGUUCGGAAUUACUGGGCGUAAAGGGCGCGUAGGCGGCCUCCUAAGUCAGACGUGAAAUCCCCCGGCUUAACCUGGGAACUGCGUCUGAUACUGGGAGGCUAGAGUGCGGGAGAGGGAUGCGGAAUUCCAGGUGUAGCGGUGAAAUGCGUAGAUAUCGGGAGGAAUACCAGCAGCGAAGGCGGCGACCUGGAUAAGCACUGACACUCAACUACGAAAGCGUGGGGAGCAAACAGG